CAUAAUGAACACUACAAUUCCUAGAAGCUACUUUGUUUUAUUUUUUAGAACUGUGGCCACAUUUAAAAAACAAAACAAAAACAAAAAACAAAAUACUACCCAGACUGUAAAAAGCCAUUAGUCACCUGUUUGACUGACGAAGUGUCAAAGCAGCUGUUUUAAGGCAUGCAAACCUUAUUCUAACACUCCUGACCCUCAUUAUAGAGCAUUACAGAGCAUUACAGAGCAGUAGAAUCAGUUCUUGGAGUUAGUGGAGUAAGAUUAGAUCCUCUGAUUGGAGUUUAAAAAAAAAACAGCACUUUAUUGUUCUGGAAACUCUCCCAAACAUUUAUAGAGGCUUUAUUUAGAAUCAUAAAGCUUAAAGCAGGGGGCUGGAGAGGUAGUAUCAGACUGGCUGAAAGCGUUUGAAGCUCUGGGGAGGCUGUGGGAGGGAGAGGAGGGUGUGUGGUCUCGGAGAGCCUUAUAUGGAGAGCAGUGUGGUGGUGGUGAUGGUGAUGAUCGCGCGCAGAUGGGGGUGGGGGGCCUCUGGAAAGCGAUCUGCCCAGUCUGACACACACACACACAUACACACUGCCAGCGCCAGAGAAAGGCAGCGGCAGCAGCUCCUUCUUUACUUCAGCAACAUCUGCCCCUCCUGUAGCUCUCUGAGGGUCGCUCCUCUUCACUGUGGAGAGGAAGCAGAAGAGACGAGGCGCCCCCGCUGCUUUCUGAACUCCUCUGUGUGUGUGAUGGCGGAGGACGGGCAGGUUUAGGUGGAUUUUGGGCUGUUUUCUGGACUGUUUUGGACUGUUUUUGGACGCCGGUGUGAGGAGGGAUAUUAUAGCGGCUCUGCUCUCAGACAUGGAUGCGCUGAAACUGCCCGCAGCUGCUCUCCUUCUUCUCCUGCUCUCUCUGAACAGCCCGGUCUCCUCCAACCAGUUCCCGGACUCCAAGCAGGCUCGAGAAUGGGCAAACCACAUAGAGGAGGACCUUCUGCAGCUGAUUAAUGCUGAGGUGGACAUAGAGCACCUCACUAAGGUAAAGUCACAUGGCCCACCCUGUCCACACAGCUCUCCUGUUUUUUGCAAAUUGGGAGUCAGC
rnacentral:lncRNA from 1 species